rnacentral:rRNA from 1 species
GACGGUGGAUGCAAGCGUUAUCCGGAAUGAUUGGGCGUAAAGCGUCUGCAGGUGGCAGUUCAAGUCUGCUGUCAAAGACCGGGGCUUAACUUCGGAAAGGCAGUGGAAACUGAACAGCUAGAGUAUGGUAGGGGCAGAGGGAAUUCCUGGUGUAGUGGUGAAAUGCGUAGAGAUCAGGAAGAACAUCGGUGGCGAAGGCGCUCUGCUGGACCAUAACUGACACUCAGGGACGAAAGCUAGGGGAGCGAAUGGG